UAAGGAAUAUUGGUCAAUGGACGGAAGUCUGAACCAGCCAUGCCGCGUGCAGGAAGACGGCCCUACGGGUUGUAAACUGCUUUUGCAGGGGAAUAAACCUUCGUAUGUAUACGAAGCUGAAUGUACCUUGAGAAUAAGGAUCGGCUAACUCCGUGCCAGCAGCCGCGGUAAUACGGAGGAUCCGAGCGUUAUCCGGAUUUAUUGGGUUUAAAGGGUGCGUAGGCGGCCUAUUAAGUCAGGGGUGAAAGACGGUAGCUUAACUAUCGCAGUGCCUUUGAUACUGAUGGGCUUGAAUGUACUUGAGGUAGGCGGAAUGUGACAAGUAGCGGUGAAAUGCAUAGAUAUGUCACAGAACACCAAUUGCGAAGGCAGCUUACUAAAGUAUGAUUGACGCUGAGGCACGAAAGCGUGGGGAUCAAACA
rnacentral:rRNA from 1 species